rnacentral:rRNA from 1 species
AUUGAACGCUGGCGGCAGGCCUAACACAUGCAAGUCGAACGAGUGGCGGACGGGUGAGUAAUGUCUGGGAAACUGCCUGAUGGAGGGGGAUAACUACUGGAAACGGUAGCUAAUACCGCAUACCAUCAGAUGUGCCCAGAUGGGAUUAGCUUGUUGGUGGGGUAACGGCUCACAAAGGCGACGAUCCCUAGCUGGUCUGAGAGGAUGACAAGACACACUGGAACUGAGACACGGUCCAGACUCCUACGGUAGGCAGAAGUGGGCAAUAUUGCACAAUGGGCGCAACCCGGAUGCAGCCAUGCAGCCUGUAUGAUAACGGCCUUCGGGUUGUAAAGUACUUUCAGCGGGGAGUCGUUACCCGCAGAAGAAGCCCCGGCUAAAUUCGUGCCAGCAGCCGCGGUAAUUC